GAUGAAGAACGUAGUGAAAUGCGAAAAGUAGUGUGAAUUGCAGAAUUCAGUGAAUCAUCGAAUCUUUGAACGCACAUUGCGCCCGCCAGCACUCUGGCGGGCAUGCCUGUUCGAGCGUCAUUUCAACCAUCAAGCCCCAGGCUUGCGUUGGAGCCCUGCGGCUGCCGCAGCCUCCUAAAAGCAGUGGCGGGCUCGCUAUCACACCGAGUGCAGUAGAUUACUCUUCGCUCAGGGCGUGCAGCGGGUUCCGGCCGUGAAACCCCCUACUUUUAAAGGUUGACCUCGGAUCAGGUAGGAAUACCCGCUGAACUUAAGCAUAUCAAUAAGCGGAGGA
rnacentral:misc_RNA from 1 species